GGCUCGUUAGCUCAGUGGUUAGAGCGCCCAGCUGGCGCACAGUAAUGGGAAGACGAGGGUUCAAAUCCCUCACGAGCUA
rfam:Bombyx mori DNA, contig: Bm_scaf71_contig31062, strain: p50T/Dazao, build 2, whole genome shotgun sequence.